rnacentral:rRNA from 1 species
GAUGAACGCUAGCGGCAGGCUUAACACAUGCAAGUCGAGGGGUAGAGGUUGCUUGCAACCUUGAGACCGGCGCGCGGGUGCGUAACGCGUAUGCAACCUACCUUUUACAGAGGGAUAGCCCAGAGAAAUUUGGAUUAAUACCUCAUAGUAUAUAACCUUCGCAUGUUGGUUAUAUUAAAGUUCCAACGGUAAAAGAUGGGCAUGCGUCCUAUUAGCUAGAUGGUAAGGUAACGGCUUACCAUGGCAACGAUAGGUAGGGGUCCUGAGAGGGGGAUCCCCCACACUGGUACUGAGACACGGACCAGACUCCUACGGGAGGCAGCAGGGAGGAAUAUUGGACAAUGGGCGCAAGCCUGAUCCAGCCAUGCCACGUGCAGGAAGAAGCAUCUAUGGUGUGUAAACUGCUUUUGUACAGGAAGAAACACCCCGACGUGUCGGGGCUUGACGGUACUGUAAGAAUAAGGAUCGGCUAACUCCGUGCCAGCCGCCGCAGUAA